GGAAACCGGAGCUAAUACCGGAUAGUUCCUUGAACCGCAUGGUUCAAGGAUGAAAGACGGUUUCGGCUGUCACUUACAGAUGGACCCGCGGCGCAUUAGCUAGUUGGUGAGGUAACGGCUCACCAAGGCGACGAUGCGUAGCCGACCUGAGAGGGUGAUCGGCCACACUGGGACUGAGACACGGCCCAGACUCCUACGGGAGGCAGCAGUAGGGAAUCUUCCGCAAUGGACGAAAGUCUGACGGAGCAACGCCGCGUGAGUGAUGAAGGUUUUCGGAUCGUAAAGCUCUGUUGUUAGGGAAGAACAAGUGCAAGAGUAACUGCUUGCACCUUGACGGUACCUAACCAGAAAGCCACGGCUAACUACGUGCCAGCAGCCGCGGUAAUACGUAGGUGGCAAGCGUUGUCCGGAAUUAUUGGGCGUAAAGGGCUCGCAGGCGGUUUCUUAAGUCUGAUGUGAAAGCCCCCGGCUCAACCGGGGAGGGUCAUUGGAAACUGGGAAACUUGAGUGCAGAAGAGGAGAGUGGAAUUCCACGUGUAGCGGUGAAAUGCGUAGAGAUGUGGAGGAACACCAGUGGCGAAGGCGACUCUCUGG
rnacentral:rRNA from 1 species